rnacentral:rRNA from 1 species
AACGCUGGCGGCAUGCCUUACACAUGCAAGUCGAACGGCAGCACGGGAGCAAUCCUGGUGGCGAGUGGCGAACGGGUGAGUAAUGUAUCGGAACGUGCCCAGUCGUGGGGGAUAACGCAGCGAAAGCUGUGCUAAUACCGCAUACGAUCUAUGGAUGAAAGCGGGGGAUCGCAAGACCUCGCGCGAUUGGAGCGGCCGAUAUCAGAUUAGCUAGUUGGUGGGGUAAAGGCUCACCAAGGCGACGAUCUGUAGCUGGUCUGAGAGGACGACCAGCCACACUGGAACUGAGACACGGUCCAGACUCCUACGGGAGGCAGCAGUGGGGAAUUUUGGACAAUGGGCGCAAGCCUGAUCCAGCAAUGCCGCGUGCAGGAUGAAGGCCUUCGGGUUGUAAACUGCUUUUGUACGGAGCGAAAAGGCUCUCUCUAAUACAGGGGGCUCAUGACGGUACCGUAAGAAUAAGCACCGGCUAACUACGUG